GAAUGCAGUACUAAAUUCCUUCACCAGAGUGCACGAAAUCACCCGAAGCUUUGAAAACACGAAGUGUCGAGAGAAAGAGAACAGAACGAUGUCGAGCUUUUAACGGUUCGCCCUUCUUCGUAUUCUCUUUUUUUUCAAAAUCUUAAUCUUCAUUUUCUUCUUUUGUCUUAACGUCAACACAGUAAACACACACAAGUAACACAAAUUCAUCCGACACAUCCAAGAAAUAUCCAAAUAAAAUUGAACGAACGAGUCUGAAGUUCCGACUCGUUCACUAUCGUUUUCUAUAUCGUAAAAUUAUCAAAAAAAAUGUAUUCGAAAAGAAAUCAUCGAUACACGUGACACGUGUAUCGCAAGGACAACAAUCCUUUCUGUAUUUAAAAAAAG
rnacentral:lncRNA from 1 species